GUAAUACGGUAGCACUUCUUGGUAUGACCUGAAAAUGAGACAAAAACUUAUUAAAUAAUAAGUAUUAGAUACUAUCCCCUUCGCGCUUCGGUUGAUCGAGGGGAAGCCUGUACGUCAAUAGAUACAAUUAUUAUCUGUAAGUUUCUAAUUUGUAUUUAUCUUAAUAGACCGUCAAUAGUUCACAAAUUAUGUGAUAAACAUUUUUUAAUUACACUUCUAUCAAACUUCUUGUUAAAGUGUAUUUAUAGAUCAAAAUGUUAUUUAGAUUUACUAAACUAAAUUUAAAUCUUGGGCAUACUCCCGUCCAAGACAUGAAAUUC